rnacentral:rRNA from 2 species
GGGUUGUGAGGUUAAGCGACUAAGCGUACACGGUGGAUGCCCUGGCAGUCAGAGGCGAUGAAGGGCGUGCUAAUCUGCGAUAAGCGCCGGUAAGGUGAUAUGAACCGUUAUAACCGGCGAUACCCGAAUGGGGAAACCCAGUGUGAUUCGUCACACUAUCAUUAACUGAAUCCAUAGGUUAAUGAGGCGAACCGGGGGAACUGAAACAUCUAAGUACCCCGAGGAAAAGAAAUCAACCGAGAUUCCCCCAGUAGCGGCGAGCGAACGGGGAGGAGCCCAGAGCCUGAAUCAGCAUGUGUGUUAGUGGAAGCGUCUGGAAAGGCGCGCGAUACAGGGUGACAGCCCCGUACACAAAAGCGCAUGUGCUGUGAGCUCGAUGAGUAGGGCGGGACACGUGGUAUCCUGUCUGAAUAUGGGGGGACCAUCCUCCAAGGCUAAAUACUCCUGACUGACCGAUAGUGAACCAGUACCGUGAGGGAAAGGCGAAAAGAACCCCGGCGAGGGGAGUGAAAAAGAACCUGAAACCGUGUACGUACAAGCAGUGGGAGCCCCACCACUAAGCCAGUGGUGAACUCCACAUCCGCAUCCUUUGCUGAGGAUACGGUUAACGGAGCGAAAGCGACGUUCAACCGCAAAACAAGCAGAGGGGGCUUAGUGGUGGGGUGACUGCGUACCUUUUGUAUAAUGGGUCAGCGACUUAUAUUCUGUAGCAAGGUUAACCGAAUAGGGGAGCCGGAGGGAAACCGAGUCUUAAUUGGGCGUUAAGUUGCAGGGUAUAGACCCGAAACCCGGUGAUCUAGCCAUGGGCAGGUUGAAGGUUGGGUAACACUAACUGGAGGACCGAACCGACUAAUGUUGAAAAAUUAGCGGAUGACCUGUGGCUGGGGGUGAAAGGCCAAUCAAACCGGGAGAUAGCUGGUUCUCCCCGAAAGCUAUUUAGGUAGCGCCUCGUGAAUUCAUCUCCGGGGGUAGAGCACUGUUUCGGCUAGGGGGCCAUCCCGGCUUACCAACCCGAUGCAAACUGCGAAUACCGGAGAAUGUUAUCACGGGAGACACACGGCGGGUGCUAACGUCCGUCGUGAAGAGGGAAACAACCCAGACCGCCAGCUAAGGUCCCAAAGUCAUGGUUAAGUGGGAAACGAUGUGGGAAGGCCCAGACAGCCAGGAUGUUGGCUUAGAAGCAGCCAUCAUUUAAAGAAAGCGUAAUAGCUCACUGGUCGAGUCGGCCUGCGCGGAAGAUGUAACGGGGCUAAACCAUGCACCGAAGCUGCGGCAGCGAACGUAUCACCCAAGACAACUUUACGGAGUUGACGAUUGACGGAGCGAAGCGACGUCAAAGCGUUCAUUAAAGUCGAGUUGGCUUAGGGAUACGUUCGUUGGGUAGGGGAGCGUUCUGUAAGCCUGUGAAGGUGUGUCGUGAGGCAUGCUGGAGGUAUCAGAAGUGCGAAUGCUGACAUAAGUAACGAUAAAGCGGGUGAAAAGCCCGCUCGCCGGAAGACCAAGGGUUCCUGUCCAACGUUAAUCGGGGCAGGGUGAGUCGACCCCUAAGGCGAGGCCGAAAGGCGUAGUCGAUGGGAAACGGGUUAAUAUUCCCGUACUUGGUGUUACUGCGAAGGGGGGACGGAGAAGGCUAUGUUGGCCGGGCGACGGUUGUCCCGGUUUAAGCGUGUAGGUGUGUGUUCCAGGUAAAUCCGGUUCACUUUAACACUGAGGCGUGACGACGAGGCACUACGGUGCUGAAGCAACAAAUGCCCUGCUUCCAGGAAAAGCCUCUAAGCAUCAGGUAACACGAAAUCGUACCCCAAACCGACACAGGUGGUCAGGUAGAGAAUACCAAGGCGCUUGAGAGAACUCGGGUGAAGGAACUAGGCAAAAUGGUGCCGUAACUUCGGGAGAAGGCACGCUGACACGUAGGUGAAGUGAUUUACUCAUGGAGCUGAAGUCAGUCGAAGAUACCAGCUGGCUGCAACUGUUUAUUAAAAACACAGCACUGUGCAAACACGAAAGUGGACGUAUACGGUGUGACGCCUGCCCGGUGCCGGAAGGUUAAUUGAUGGGGUCAGCGCAAGCGAAGCUCCUGAUCGAAGCCCCGGUAAACGGCGGCCGUAACUAUAACGGUCCUAAGGUAGCGAAAUUCCUUGUCGGGUAAGUUCCGACCUGCACGAAUGGCGUAAUGAUGGCCAGGCUGUCUCCACCCGAGACUCAGUGAAAUUGAACUCGCUGUGAAGAUGCAGUGUACCCGCGGCAAGACGGAAAGACCCCGUGAACCUUUACUAUAGCUUGACACUGAACAUUGAGCCUUGAUGUGUAGGAUAGGUGGGAGGCUUUGAAGUGUGGACGCCAGUCUGCAUGGAGCCGACCUUGAAAUACCACCCUUUAAUGUUUGAUGUUCUAACGUGGACCCGUAAUCCGGGUUGCGGACAGUGUCUGGUGGGUAGUUUGACUGGGGCGGUCUCCUCCUAAAGAGUAACGGAGGAGCACGAAGGUUGGCUAAUCCUGGUCGGACAUCAGGAGGUUAGUGCAAUGGCAUAAGCCAGCUUGACUGCGAGCGUGACGGCGCGAGCAGGUGCGAAAGCAGGUCAUAGUGAUCCGGUGGUUCUGAAUGGAAGGGCCAUCGCUCAACGGAUAAAAGGUACUCCGGGGAUAACAGGCUGAUACCGCCCAAGAGUUCAUAUCGACGGCGGUGUUUGGCACCUCGAUGUCGGCUCAUCACAUCCUGGGGCUGAAGUAGGUCCCAAGGGUAUGGCUGUUCGCCAUUUAAAGUGGUACGCGAGCUGGGUUUAGAACGUCGUGAGACAGUUCGGUCCCUAUCUGCCGUGGGCGCUGGAGAACUGAGGGGGGCUGCUCCUAGUACGAGAGGACCGGAGUGGACGCAUCACUGGUGUUCGGGUUGUCAUGCCAAUGGCACUGCCCGGUAGCUAAAUGCGGAAGAGAUAAGUGCUGAAAGCAUCUAAGCACGAAACUUGCCCCGAGAUGAGUUCUCCCUGAGACUUUAGGUCUCCUGAAGGAACGUUGAAGACGACGACGUUGAUAGGCCGGGUGUGUAAGCGCAGCGAUGCGUUGAGCUAACCGGUACUAAUGAACCGUGAGGCUUAACCUUACAACGCCGAAG